rnacentral:piRNA from 1 species
UGCUGAAAUACUAUAAGGUGGAUGAAAAUG